GACGAACGCUGGCGGCGUGCUUAACACAUGCAAGUCGAACGGAAAGGUCCUGCUUUUGUGGGUUGCUCGAGUGGCGAAGGGGUGAGUAACACGUGAGUAACCUGCCCUUGACUUUGGGACAACUUCAGGAAACUGGGGCUAAUACCGGAUAGGAGCUCCUGCUGCAUGGAGGGGGUUGGAAAGAUACGGCGGUGGGGGAUGGACUCGCGGCUUAUCAGCUUGUUGGUGGGGUAGUGGACUACCAAGGCGUUGACGGGUAGCCGGGCUGAGAGGGUGACCGGCCACAUUGGGACUGUGAUACGCCCCAGACUCCUACGGGAGGCGGCAGUGUGGAAUAUUGCACAAUGGGCGGAAGCCUGAUGCAGAAACGCCGCGUGCGGGAUGACGGCCUUCGGGUUGUGAACCGCUUUCGCCUGUGACGAGGCGUGAGUGACGGUAACGGGUAAAGAAGCACCGGCUAACUACGUG
rnacentral:rRNA from 1 species